rnacentral:rRNA from 1 species
AUCGAACGCUGGCGGCAGGCCUAACACAUGCAAGUCGAGCGAGCGGCGGACGGGUGAGUAAUGCCUGGGUAUUGCCCAGUCGAGGGGGAUAACAGUUGGAAACGACCGCUAAUACCGCAUACGAUUGGCUUGCCCAGGUGAGAUUAGCUAGUUGGGGGGGUAAUGGCUCACCAAGGCGACGAUCCCUAGCUGGUCGGAGGGGAUGAUCAGCCACACGGGAACUGAGACGCGGUCCAGACUCCUACGAGAGGCAGCAGGGGGGAAUAUGGCACAAUGGGGGAAACCCUGAUGCAGCCAUGCCGCGUGUGUGAAGAAGGCCUGCGGGUUAUAAAGCACUUUCAGCGAGGAGGCGUUACUCGCAGAAGAAGCACCGGCUAACUCCGUGCCAGCAGCGCGGUAAUAC